UACGGAGGGGGGCUAGCGUUGUUCGGAAUUACUGGGCGUAAAGCGCACGUAGGCGGCUUUGUAAGUUAGAGGUGAAAGCCCAGGGCUUAACCCUGGAAUUGCCUUUAAGACUGCAUCGCUAGAAUCGUGGAGAGGUGAGUGGAAUUCCGAGUGUAGAGGUGAAAUUCGUAGAUAUUCGGAAAGAACACCAGUGGCGAAGGCGACUCACUGGACACGUAUUGACGCUGAGGUGCGAAAGCGUGGGGAGCAAACAGG
rnacentral:rRNA from 1 species